UCUAUUAUGGCAGAUUAGUGCAAUGAAUUUAAGAUUCAUAAAAAAAAUUAUUAAUUUUUAAUAGAA
rnacentral:tRNA from 1 species